GGUAACGGCUCACCAUGGCAAUGAUACGUAGCCGACCUGAGAGGGUAAUCGGCCACAUUGGGACUGAGACACGGCCCAAACUCCUACGGGAGGCAGCAGUAGGGAAUCUUCCACAAUGGACGAAAGUCUGAUGGAGCAACGCCGCGUGAGUGAAGAAGGGUUUCGGCUCGUAAAACUCUGUUGUUAAAGAAGAACAUAUCUGAGAGUAACUGUUCAGGUAUUGACGGUAUUUAACCAGAAAGCCACGGCUAACUACGUGCCAGCAGCCGCGGUAAUACGUAGGUGGCAAGCGUUGUCCGGAUUUAUUGGGCGUAAAGCGAGCGCAGGCGGUUUUUUAAGUCUGAUGUGAAAGCCUUCGGCUCAACCGAAGAAGUGCAUCGGAAACUGGGAAACUUGAGUGCAGAAGAGGACAGUGGAACUCCAUGUGUAGCGGUGAAAUGCGUAGAUAUAUGGAAGAACACCAGUGGCGAAGGCGGCUGUCUGGUCUGUAACUGACGCUGAGGCUCGAAAGUAUGGGUAGCAAACAGGAUUAGAUACCCUGGUAGUCCAUACCGUAAACGAUGAAUGCUAAGUGUUGGAGGGUUUCCGCCCUUCAGUGCUGCAGCUAACGCAUUAAGCAUUCCGCCUGGGGAGUACGGCCGCAAGGCUGAAACUCAAAGGAAUUGACGGGGGCCCGCACAAGCGGUGGAGCAUGUGGUUUAAUUCGAAGCUACGCGAAGAACCUUACCAGGUCUUGACAUACUAUGCAAAUCUAAGAGAUUAGACGUUCCCUUCGGGGACAUGGAUACAGGUGGUGCAUGGUUGUCGUCAGCUCGUGUCGUGAGAUGUUGGGUUAAGUCCCGCAACGAGCGCAACCCUUAUUAUCAGUUGCCAGCAUUAAGUUGGGCACUCUGGUGAGACUGCCGGUGACAAACCGGAGGAAGGUGGGGAUGACGUCAAAUCAUCAUGCCCCUUAUGACCUGGGCUACACACGUGCUACAAUGGAUGGUACAACGAGUUGCGAACUCGCGAGAGUAAGCUAAUCUCUUAAAGCCAUUCUCAGUUCGGAUUGUAGGCUGCAACUCGCCUACAUGAAGUCGGAAUCGCUAGUAAUCGCGGAUCAGCAUGCCGCGGUGAAUACGUUCCCGGGCCUUGUACACACCGCCCGUCACACCAUGAGAGUUUGUAACACCCAAAGUCGGUGGGGUAACCUUUUAGGAACCAGCCGCCUAAGGUGGGACAGAUGAUUAGGGUGAAGUCGUAACAAGGUAG
rnacentral:rRNA from 1 species